rnacentral:rRNA from 1 species
UACGUAGGGGGGCAAGCGUUGUCCGGAAUUAUUGGGCGUAAAGAGCUUGUAGGCGGUUUGUCGCGUCUGCUGUGAAAAUCCGGGGCUCAACCCCGGACUUGCAGUGGGUACGGGCAGACUAGAGUGUGGUAGGGGAGACUGGAAUUCCUGGUGUAGCGGUGGAAUGCGCAGAUAUCAGGAGGAACACCGAUGGCGAAGGCAGGUCUCUGGGCCACUACUGACGCUGAGAAGCGAAAGCAUGGGGAGCGAACAGG